GAUUGUUGUUCACAUUCCUGGUCAGUCCUGAAGCACCGCAGUUCCUGUACAUUACUGAGGUGAUUGAACUCACUUUGGCACUACAGAGCAGGGGCACAGGUUUGGAAUGGACAAGGCAGUGGGACCUGCAACUGGGAAAAAGGGUUUCAGAUUUUUCUGCCUACUUUUUAAGUUUGUCCUUCAGCGUAUCAUAGCCAGAGGUGAUGCUGUAGGGUAGGUAUGAUUAUUGCAUUGGUACUGAGAAUCAGGGGCAAUAGCUAAGUUAAAAAGCAACUGCAACACAUAACCUGCCCAGGGCGUUACCUGCAGCUGAAGGAAGUACAGUGAACUAGUCUUUUCCUUUGUUAGGAUGCGCUUGGAUUUGGCCAUGGGGACUGCUGCUUGUCCUAAGGGGUUAGGAGUCCAUCCUCUUCUUGGAUGGAGGAGCAUCUUACUUGCUACUUAACUUCUAUCUGAAAUCAAGAGGAUCCAAAUGACUGCCACUACAGAAAGGAGGUUUAAAGAGAAUAAGCAGCAGGUGUGGGACCCAAAACUCACAAGCUUAGUAGUGAUUUUACUUGCUCUGCAGACACCAAACCUUUUUUCUUAACUUGAGAGUGAAAAAACGUACUUUAGCUGCAAUAUCUAUUUCUUUUUCCUAGAACUGA